UCCUUGGUGGUCCAGUAGUUAGGACUUCACACUUCCACUGCAGGAAGCUCAGGUUCAAUCCCUGGCUGGGGAA
rnacentral:tRNA from 1 species